rnacentral:rRNA from 1 species
GUGGGGAAUAUUGGACAAUGGGCGAAAGCCUGAUCCAGCCAUGCCGCGUGUGUGAAGAAGGUCUUCGGAUUGUAAAGCACUUUAAGUUGGGAGGAAGGGCAGUAAGUUAAUACCUUGCUGUUUUGACGUUACCGACAGAAUAAGCACCGGCUAACUUCGUGCCAGCAGCCGCGGUAAUACGAAGGGUGCAAGCGUUAAUCGGAAUUACUGGGCGUAAAGCGCGCGUAGGUGGUUUUGUAAGUUGGAGGUGAAAUCCCCGGGCUCAACCUGGGAACUGCCUCCAAAACUGCAUGACUAGAGUACGGUAGAGGGUAGUGGAAUAUCCUGUGUAGCGGUGAAAUGCGUAGAUAGAGGAAGGAACACCAGUGGCGAAGGCGACUACCUGGACUGAUACUGACACUGAGGUGCGAAAGCGUGGGGAGCAAACAGGAUUAGAUACCCGAGUAGUCC